AGAAUUCCAGCAUUUAAUUACAUUUACGGAUAACAUUUUUAAAAAAACGUUAUCAUCUUAUAUUAAUUAAAUCAAUAACCCCGUUGAGUUUCUUUAGACAUAAAUAUAUAUUUUAAAGUAUAAAAUUUCUAAACAUUGGGGAGUUAAAUUUCAAAAAGAAAAAAGACUAAGUACAGAAUAGUGCUCUGCUAGGGUUUUGGAGAUUUUUCAAAUUACUUCUGUUGCUAUGGCGGGAAGACUCAAAGGUCGAAAAAAAUGGAACGAAUGCAGCGAUUCAAAAACAGAGGGGACCGUCGUCGAAGACUGUUGAGAAAGACGAUAUCUAUGGCAGCGAUCUUUGAGAUCAACACAGUGGAAUUUUCUAAUUCUGAGGAAGAGAAGAUUGAUGAGGAUGCGGUGAAGAAUGACGAUGGAACCAUACUCUCGCAAAGAUCGAACGAGACUCUCUCGGAAUGGCUUGGCGUAAUGAAGAAGGCAGAGGCGACUACGAAAUGAGAUUGGGGAUUCCAAUAAGACUAAAAUCAGAAGUAGUGCUGCUAGGAAAUUAGGGAAUGUUAGAAUUGAUGAUGAUGAUAUAGAAGAGGAGAAUUUUGACUUGGGAGGAUGGGUAUUGUGAUAUUACAAAACCAGCAGAAAGGAAGUCAGAUGACAGUUAUUUCAAUGGAACAAAGGCAUUAUCAUUUUCAGGCUUUGAAAUAACCAUGCGUGAUAUUGGAUCCAGGGGAUGUCCAAUCGAACUUGCAGUGGCUAAUUUAUCAUGUCUUCAGUAUGCCUUAGGCGAAGUGUAGAGCUUUUAAUCUUUGGCUUUUCACAUACCUUAUUCCCAGGAAAUUUUGGGAUUUGUUUAGAUAAUGUUUUCACCAAUUAAAAAUGUGAAAAAACAUAGCUCUCUGAUUUGUAGAUAAUCUGCAGCUACACUGUUAAACAGUGAGUCAACUAAUUAGAUUCUUAUAUUUCUUUGAACUAUAAGAAGUGGCUGACCAUGAACUUUUAAAUAAUUAUCAGGUUGGUUGGUGAGGUGGCGUACACAGGGAGCCAUGCUUGGGUUUUCCUCAACAAUUUAUCCACCGGAUAUGUCUACAGCAAGUUGCUUCCUGAAUGGACAGAGGAAUGGCUUCUCUAGAUUUCAUUGGGUGUCAAGACAGUCUUGCUUGUACCUGUCCCUGAUGGGGUGUUGCAACUUGGCUCAUUGGAGACGGUUGCUGAAGAUAUGGCAGCUGUUGGUUUAAUCAGAGACAGAUACGAUGCUUUUCAUACAAUGAUGGAUGAGAGUUGGCCUUUCACGUUAACACAUAAUACUCAUGAUCAAGAACAUUAUUACUAUUACUACCACAGAAACCAAGGUUAUUAUUACUAGACUUAAACUCAUGAUCUCGAACCUUCCAUUCUAGGGUCUAGCAGAGGAGUUGAGCAAAGAUGGUGCAUGUGACAGAGCAAUUUUAUGUGUCAGCUGAAGGGGUAAGAAAAAACUCUUAACCAUUUUUAACAUCUCAGUGUUUUGUUUGUCCCAAUUUAAGCUUAUUUUUCACAUCGAUAAGUGAUUGCAGGGCGAUCGUCAGGUUCACCACAGGGAUUCUUCCAUUGUUUCAUACAAGGUCAAUCCUAAAUUUGUUGCUUGCCGAGAGGGUUAUGUCACUUGGUUUUGCCGCAAAGACUUGGCUGCACCUGCAAAUGCGCAUUUCAGACUCAUAUAAUAUUAAGUAUAUCAACCAUAAAUGUUAAAUGUUACAAAUAGAUUUGUGACUCAUUAGAAAUUAAAUGAGCUUUGAUCAUGUUAUUGUUUACUUGGAAUACAUGUAUUGGAUAUUUUGAUAAUAUACAAAAUAUAUUAGAUUGUUAUUUCA